UACGUAGGGUGCAAGCGUUAAUCGGAAUUACUGGGCGUAAAGCGUGCGCAGGCGGUUAUGUAAGACAGGUGUGAAAUCCCCGGGCUUAACCUGGGAACUGCAUUUGUGACUGCAUAGCUAGAGUACGGUAGAGGGGGAUGGAAUUCCGCGUGUAGCAGUGAAAUGCGUAGAUAUGCGGAGGAACACCGAUGGCGAAGGCAAUCCCCUGGACCUGUACUGACGCUCAUGCACGAAAG
rnacentral:rRNA from 1 species